AGACGGAGGGUGCAAGCGUUAAUCGGAAUUACUGGGCGUAAAGCGCUCGUAGGCGGCUUGUUAAGUCGGAUGUGAAAGCCCCGGGCUCAACCUGGGAACUGCAUUCGAUACUGGCAGGCUAGAGUAUAGUAGAGGCAAGUGGAAUUCCGGGUGUAGCGGUGAAAUGCGUAGAUAUCCGGAGGAACAUCAGUGGCUAAGGCGACUUGCUGGACUAAUACUGACGCUGAGGAGCGAAAGCGUGGGGAGCAAACGGGAUUAGAAACCCCAGUAGUCC
rnacentral:rRNA from 1 species